CUCAUCUUCCACUCCACUCCAAACAAUCCAAAACCAGAAAAUUCGGCGGCCACCGUCGACACCCAAUCUGUGAGAAUUUCACCCCUAGUCGGCGACAACAUUCCACAAACACAUCUCACACAAUUAAUUGGACAAACAACAUCAUAUGGAGAUCAAAAUCAGCUCUUAAAGUAAUCAGAAGUGCACGAUCCAACAACAAAAUCCAACAACUUUGGUGUCACCCAUGGUGGUGCAUUGCUGCCAGUCGAUUCACCUCACCAAGGUACUCUUAUUCAUGGUGAGACGUCAUAAAAAACAGCACCAAUUGAUACAAGUCUACCUCGGGAGCAAAACGAAGCAGUUUCGUCUCCUUCAAUUCACGAUUUUGGGAAUGGUAUUUCGUAAAAUUGGCAACACCGAACGAUGAUGGGUAUACUCUCAAUUGAUCCAAUUUGUGUCACAAAUUGCUCCAAUUCCGACUUCAAUGUUUAUUCAGCUUUCUGUUGAGUUUGAUUUGAUUUCUUGUUUUGAUAUUUGGGCGAUGGCGACUGCCUUUCGGAGGUGAUGGCGAUCGAUCUUUGUGCCCCAUCGGUGUGGGUG
rnacentral:lncRNA from 1 species